GUGUGUCUGUGUGUGUGUGUGCAUGAGUGUGUGUGUGUGUGUGUGUGUGUGUGUGUGUGUGUGUGUGUGUGUGUGUGUGUGUGUGUGUGUGUGUGCUUGAGUGUGUGUGUGUGUGUGUGUGUGUUUGUGUGUGUGUGUAUCACACACAUCCUGUCUGUCUCUGCUCUCUCCAGAGUCCCGUCCUCUCCUGCUGCCUCUGCUGGUGUCUGCUCUGACUGUCAGUCUGGUCGUCAUUCUAACACUGAUGCUGGCCCUGAUCAGAGUCACAAAGAGAACAUUUGCUGCAGAGGUGAUAUCACCACAGCACAUCAGCCAAAUGAUUCAUUCUGAAGAGGACCCUGAGGCUGUGAACUACGUGGCCCUGGACUUCACAGCACACAGGCCAAGAGCAGGUGGACAGCACGGCAAUGCAGAGAAGGGCACUGUAUACUCCCCUCUCAGACACACAAAUGCACGCACACACACAAACACACAAACACACACACACACACAUAAGCCGUCCUGAGUAGGAUGAAAAGCCAGCAACACAGAGACAGACACUGUAUACUCCCCUCUCAGACCCCCCCCCCCACACACACACACACACACAUACACACAUACACACAUACUCUCACACACACAAACACACACACACACACACACACACCAUCCUGAGCGAGAAGUAUGACAGCAGACCACCACAAAGUAAAGAGAUACCUUAUACUCCUCAGAAACC
rnacentral:lncRNA from 1 species